CGCGCAGGCGGCCAGGUCAGUCGAAUGUGAAAGCCCCCGGCUCAACUGGGGAGGGUCAUUCGAUACUGCCUGGCUUGAAGAUAGGAGAGGGAAGCGGAAUUUCAGGUGUAGUGGUGAAAUGCGUAGAUAUCUGAAGGAACACCAGUGGCGAAGGCGGCUUUCUGGCCUAUUCUUGACGCUGAGGCGCGAAAGCUAGGGGAGCGAACG
rnacentral:rRNA from 1 species